rnacentral:rRNA from 1 species
AGUGAACGCUGGCGGUAGGCCUAACACAUGCAAGUCGAACGGCAGCACAGUAAGAGCUUGCUCUUACGGGUGGCGAGUGGCGGACGGGUGAGGAAUAUAUCGGAAUCUACUUUUUCGUGGGGGAUAACGUAGGGAAACUUACGCUAAUACCGCAUACGACCUACGGGUGAAAGCAGGGGAUCUUCGGACCUUGCGCGAUUGAAUGAGCCGAUGUCGGAUUAGCUAGUUGGCGGGGUAAAGGCCCACCAAGGCGACGAUCCGUAGCUGGUCUGAGAGGAUGAUCAGCCACACUGGAACUGAGACACGGUCCAGACUCCUACGGGAGGCAGCAGUGGGGAAUAUUGGGCAGUGGGCGCAAGCCUGAUCCAGCCAUACCGCGUGGGUGAAGAAGGCCUUCGGGUUGUAAAGCCCUUUUGUUGGGAAAGAAAAGCAGCAGGUUAAUACCCCGCUGUUCUGACGGUACCCAAAGAAUAAGCACCGGCUAACUUCGU